AGAUGAAGGAAUUCUUGGCUCUUUCCCAUGGGCUCACUGCCCUGCACGAGGUCUGUGGGAGUGCUGGCAGAAGCAAGAUGAAGGGAAUAAAGAGAGAGGUGGAGCUUGCCAUAUCUGGUUAAUGUGGGUAAGUCUCAUCCAAUCCUUUGAAGGCCUGAAGAACAAAGAGUGAGGUUUCUGGAAGAAGAAAAUUUUACCUCAAGCCUGCAAUGUAGAAAUUCUGCUUGAGUUUCCCGCCUGCUGGCCUGCCCUGUGGAAUUCGGAGUCAAGAAGGAGUCUUGUAAGCAUUAACUGAGAUAGUAUAUGAAGAGUGCUUUUGCACCGAGUGAACCUUCAAUCAACUGUACUAGUUUGUAUGCCUGGAAGAGCUGCUAUAUGGGAUCAGAAAGAAAAAUAAGGUGCAUACGCCAGAAAAAAAAUACUUGCAUAUGAGUACUAGGAGAUGCAUGACAAUGUUCACGGCAGCAGUAUUCAUGGCAGUGAAAAAUGAAAAGAACUGAAAUGCCCAUUGAUAAAAACGUCUACUUAUUUGUGUCAUCUUUGCACAGUGGAAUUGUGCGAGUGGAAAUGAUUGAUCUACAGCUAGGAGAAGCAGCAGAGCUCAAUCUCAAAAACAUAACGUUGUGUGGAAAAAGCUAACCUCAGAACACUUUGCGGCUCUAUCUUAGCAAACCAGGAGAGAAAUUCUCCUGAUGGCCUUGAAGAAGCAAACAGCCACCUGGUUAAGCCCCUGUGGAUAGUGCCAAGUGGCAGGAAAGUGGGAGCCACCUCUAGGACCUGAGGAUUAAAGUCAGUAAGAGCUGGGACCUCACUCAUGCAGACUCGAGGACAUGAAUUCGACCAACAACUUGAAUGAGCUUGGAAGUGGAUUCUUCCCUAGUCCAGUCUUCAGAAAUUAAGAAUGUUCCCAAAGAAUGAUGGAGACAUUUCAAAAGGAUACGGAAGCCAGAUUGUGGGCGCUUCUACUGGCCAACUCUGGGACAUCGUGGACAUCAAAAUAAAUUUGUAAUAAUAAAGGAUUAUAGCCUAUUAGUUAAAUCAGAAAAAUCUGAUUUAACUAAAUGAGUAGGAGGAAAAGAAAGCUCUUCCUUAUAUUAGAAAGUCAAUUAAUAAAUGCAGAAAGGAAUGAAAAAAUUAGAAAAGCCACCAUUUGGCAACCAUGGCAGGCAGAAUGGGGAGUAUGCCUCCAGACAGUAAUUCCUUUCAAACUGGUUUAUAGGAACUCACUGAGCUUGCUGAUCGACCUCUGAGAGGCAAAGUUUCUGAAUUAUGAAGUACUGAUUAUAUAAACUUAGACAGAGACAUGCUUCAUUAUUUAAUAGGACUGUGUCAAAAGCCUACUAUUAGGAUGAUGUGUUGGGUGUGGAACAGGGUCUCUUCCUGCCAGGAACACUGGUGAUUUCACUCCGUGUUCAGGCUGAUCUUUGAAGUUGAAGACAAGCAGAAGAAUCCUUCUAAAAUUUAGCCAUGCCCAUAGGCUGGGAGGGACACUGCUCCAUUCAGAGGCAGCAAAGCACAUUACUGUAUCUCCUAUAGAGCUUUGAGCAGUCCAGUGUACAUGGAGAAACUUAGUAAAUGUUGUUGAAUUAGUGAAUGAACAAAUCAAUGGACCAAGUCAGGGGUAAGUCUUACAUUUGUCAUCUAGGUGAUUAAGAAAGGAAAAAGUAUCUGUUUCAAGAGGAUUACAAUCUAACUGUACUCCAAUAGUAAAAUUUACUCUUUUGGAAUCUGAAGACAUUCAUGAGUCUUUGCAUCUUAUUUCCUGAAUUCUAACUUCCCUUGCCUUUAUGAAUGACAAAGAAGAUGCAUACAACCUUUGUAAAUGCUUGCUGAAUUUGAACAUUAUGUUGCUUUGUGAUUGCCUCCACUUGGGAUUCCAAAUGACAUCAUGUGGAUUCACUGGAGGCCUCGGGUAGCUGGGGAACUGAGGGGAUAAGAUGCACACAUGGUACACAAGCACACGUACACCAACAACGUAAAUAGACACGUAACUAGAAACAGCUGUGCAGAGCCAUUUAGUAAAAGGUUGAGUAGCUGGAACCAUCAGGAGUGCGUGGGAAUGAGUUCAAGCUCCCCCCAUGAGGCCUUCCUAAGGCUUUGCAGGAGGGCAAGAACAAGGUCUGGGAAGUGGGGAAAUGGGAUGGCUCAGUCUGUCCUUAGCAUCUCGAUCCUGGCUGACUCUCCACCACUCCUCACCCUUGCAAGAUUACACACUUUGAUUUAUGUGAC
rnacentral:lncRNA from 1 species